rnacentral:misc_RNA from 1 species
GAUGAAGAACGUAGCGAAAUGCGAUAAGUAAUGUGAAUUGCAGAAUUCAGUGAAUCAUCGAAUCUUUGAACGCACCUUGCGCCCUUUGGCUAUUCCGAAGGGCAUGCCUGUUUGAGUAUCGUGAACACCUCAACUCUCAUGGUUUGCCAUGAUGAGCUUGGACUUGGGGGUUUUGCUGGCCUUCGGUCGGCUCCUCUCAAACGGAUCAGCUUUCCAGUGUUUGGUGGCGUCACGGGUGUGAUAACUAUCUACGCCUGUGGUUUUCUGCCAGAUAACCUUCAGCGAUGGAGGUUCGCUGGGGCUCUUAAAUGUCUCUCUUCAGUGGAGACAGCUUUUUGGACGUUUGAUCUCAAAUCAGGUAGGACUACCCGCUGAACUUAAGCAUAUCAAUAAGCGGAGGA